GCCGGACUCUGCAUGAGUCACCGCCUGCCUGCAAGCCCAGAGCUCGCCGCACCCCCCUGCCUCUCCGCACCGUCCCACAGGCUGUGACCCUCCACCCAGCCAUAGACGGUUCUGCUCUUGGCACAAAGGAGGGCUUCUUAGCCGGGAAUAUGGCUGCCCGGGAGGGGCGACUUCUGUGCUUGUUUUUCCUUCCUGGCACUGAAAACAAGCACAUCCACCCAACAAAUAAAGACGCGGUCAAUGAAAGCAGCUGUGUUUCAAGGGGAGACAGGGAGCAAGCCAAGGAAUAAAUGAAAAGACCCAGUGACAAAAUGCCCAUUCAUCGGGUUCACUCGGCAAACAUUUACUGAAGCAUCUGUGUGCCAGGCACUGUCCUGAGUGCUGGGAAGACACAAAGAUGCCCUUCAGAACGAUGACCCCCGCCUCGCCCUCCGCUGGAACCGGGAGGCAGACACACACAUAAAUACGACACAGUCAACCGUCCCCAGUUCACAGCAUCUAAAGGAGCUAGGAAUGCAUGGGAUGCUUAUGGAAUGUGCGAGAACACGGGUGAGUCUCACAAAAAGAAUGUACACGGAGUACAUACUGUCGGAUUCCAUUUCUAUCAACUCCUGAAGCCUGCAGAGCUAACACCUACUGCUGGAGGGCAAGGCAGUAGCUGCUUGUUGGGGUAGGAGAUGAGGAGAACACCAAGUGGGCUUCUGGAAUGCUGGACACCCGUGUAGAGACAAAGUCUCACUGUGUUCCCAGGCUGAUCCCCAACUCCUGAGCUCAAGCCAGCCACCAGCCUUGGCCUCCCAAAGUGCUGGGAUUACAGGCGUGAGCCACCACGCCGGGCCCAGAUGAACAGUCUUAUGAAUCAAUUUCAUUUCCAAGAGCCCUGUUGGGUAAGUAGCCCAAUUUCUGAACACUCCUCUCUUGAAGCUGUUGCUAAGAACCCACCAUCCCCAGCUUCUCAGCAUGGUAGGAACCAUGACUUAGCCAUUGCCUCCUCUAUGCCUAGUACUAUCCUAGGUCCUUCUUUAAACCAUUUCUAUCCCUCACAGUAACCCCAUGAGGAAGAUAUUAUUUCAAAGUCAGGCUGAGGAGGCCAAACAUCAGACCAGUUGUGUAACUUGCCCCCGGGUCCAUGCAGUGGGUUGAGAGUGAAACCAGGAUUCCUGGCAUAAAGUCUGCGCUUUUCCCACUCAUUCCACGUAGCUCCUAGUGCUUUCUUCCAUGGCGAUGGCAUUGAAGUGCAGAUCCGUCUUCUCAGUCCUGACUCCUAGACUUUUCCCUCCAACCCCCAAGGUGAUGGGAUAAAGAGAUAGGGCCUUUGGGAAGUUAGUGCUGUUAUUAAAAAGGCCCCAGGCUGGGUGCAAUAGCUCACGCCUAUAAUCCCAGCACUUUGGGAGGCUGAGACAGGUAGAUCACCUGAGGUCAGGAGUUCGAGACGAGCCUGGACAACAUGGUGAAUCCCCGUCUCUACCAAAAAUACAAAAAUUAGCUGGGCAUGGUAGCACACACCUAUAGUCCCAGCUGCUUGGGAGGCUGAGGCAGGAGAAUCUCUGGAACCCAGGAGGUGGAGGUUGCAGUGAGCCGAGGUUUCAGUGAGCCGAGAUUGCGUCAUUGCACUCCAGCCUAGGUGACAGAGCAAGACUCCAUCUCCAAAAAAAAAAAAAAAAAUUAAAAGGCGCCAGAGAGCUGCUUUCUCCUUCAGCCACAUAAGGGCACAACAACAAGGUGCCACGAAGCAAAGAGCCCUCACCAGACAUGGAAUCUGCGGGCGCCUUCUCAGCCUCCAGAACUAUCAGCAAUAAAUUUCUGUUGUUUAUAAAUUCCCCAGUCUAAGAUACUUUGUUAUAGCAACCUAAAUGGACUGAGACUGACACCCAUUGUGUAAUAUAACACUGAUGAUAACUGUUCCAAUCACUGGGCACCUACCCUGUGUCAGGAACUGCAUUUAUGAGCUUUAGGUGUUGACAGUAACCAUAUCGGGAGGUAUUAAUAUUCCUUGUUUCCGCCUUUUUUUUUAGUGUGCCAUUUGAUUCCAAAUGCUAUGCUCUUCCCACUUGGCUCUUCUGUUUUGUUUGUGCAAUCUGGGUUCGUCUCGGAAGUGUGUAUUUAAGGUUCUCUCCAGGUUAGAGAGAAUGUGGCAGCAUGCCUGAUGAUGUCACCCACUGCUUCUGUUAUACCCUGCCCAGCUUACCCCUUCCCUCUGGGCCUUUUAUAGGACCUUGUAUUUAGUCCAACAACAACAAUAGCACAACACCCAUAAACAAAACACCUCUGCAUAUAAUACAAUGUACUUGCCUACUUGCUGACUGAAAGAGCUCCCACAGCCUCCCAGGUGCUGCCCUGCGCUUGGAGCAAAGCCUAUCUGAGGCUGAAGAAUGAGUAAGUCACCACCUGAAUCCUGCCCUCCAGCCAGCUCUCUUCAUCAUGGAAAUUCUUGGAGCAGAGUGGAAGGGAACCUGAGAGGAGAGAUGGCACCUUCACUGAUUCCUCCUUUAUCUUUCCAGACUUCAUGGCUGAGACAGAGCUGAGAGCAGAGAAAACAGACUCAUAAAAUCCUGGCAGAAUCUUUCCAUUCUAAUAGGUAGGUUGGGGUGUGGUGGCUCAUGCCUGUAAUCCUAGCCCUUUGGGAGGCUGAGGCAGGAGGACCACCUGAGCUCAGGAGUUCAAGACCAGCCUGGGCAACAUAGUGAGACCCUGUCUCUACGAAAAAUAAUAAUAAAAAACAAUUGGCCAGGCAUCAUGGCAUGCACCUGUAGUCCCAGCUGUUCAGAAGGCUGAGGUGGGAGGAUCACUUGAGGCCAGCAGGUUGAGGCUGCAGUGAGCUGAGAUGGCGUCACUGUGGGCAACAGUGGGAGACCCUAUCUCAAAAAGCAAACAAACAAACUCUAAUCGCCGUUAAAGUUAAAUGAUCUACAAUCUGGCUUUAUGCUAGGGUAAACUGUCUUCUCACAGCUGGAAAUGAAAAUUCCCUAUAGUAGUUGGAGGGCUCCCGACCCCCAGCCUCCCAACCUACCACACUCCAACUUUGUCUGUGCCCUGCCACGAACACUUUUCUAGAAGAGACCCCUUCUGCCACCCCACGUUUGCCACAGUGGGCUCCUCAAAGUGCUCAUCCAGGAGACUGAAGAUUCUAAGUUUCCAACCCAGAGACUGGAGCCAACAGAAUCCCUUUUCCAGGACUUAGCAUUUGGGACUCACAGAGAUUUCCUCUCCCUCAUUGGGCGACUGGGCUAUAACAGUGGGCUUCAAAGUGAAGCUAGUAGACUGGGGACAUGAAGACGUUGGAGGGGUGCAGAGUCAUGAAUAGCUGUCAAGGAUUGGUUUCCAGAUCUAAAAUUGACACCUAUAGUCUUUCCUAUACAGACAUGCUCUACUGGCGAGUGUUCUGGUUCUGAGAGCUUGUCUUUCUUUAUCAACUGCCCUUUCAAGCUCAAGCUUCCCCUAUUGCACAGAAGAAAUGCAAGCCUCUUCCCUUCUGGAAUCGCACCAUGGGCAGUACUCCAGAGAGUGGAAACUCUCUGACACCAAACAAGGGACAAUUCAAGAAUAAAUGGCACCUGAGUCCCAGGAGGGCAAAGCAGAGUGAGAAAAGAAUUAGUGAGUGAUGUGGAAAGGACAACAUCCUUUCAUCCCAGAGUCAAAGCCCCGGCAAGCCUCCAGGCCUCAGCGCUCCCUCUGUCUUACAGCACAAAAACACCUUUUGUGGAUGGGAAAGGACUCAGGACGUGAUCAGACUGGCCUGCUGAGAGUAUCAUAGGGAAGUGCUGGAUGGGUUCAUGGAAAGAAGUAUACACAGAUGAGGAACAGCAGAAAGGCAUG
rnacentral:lncRNA from 10 species